ACCUCAAAUCAGGCAAGAAUACCCGCUGAACUUAAGCAUAUCAAUAAGCGGAGGAAAAGAAACUAACAAGGAUUCCCCUAGUAACGGCGAGUGAAGAGGGAAGAGCUCAAAUUUUAAAUCUGCCUUGUUCCAAGGUCGAGUUGUAAUUUGAAGAAGCGUUUUCUUGGGCUCGCGGCCGGUAGAAGUUCUUUGGAACAGGACAUCAUAGAGGGUGACAAUCCCGUCCGUGACCGGUCGUGCGUUCAUCUACGAUACGCUUUCAAAGAGUCGAGUUGUUUGGGAUUGCAGCUCCAAACGGGUGGUAAACAUCACCUAAGGCUAAAUAUUGGCGAGAGACCGAUAGCGAACAAGUACCGUGAGGGAAAGAUGAAAAGAACUUUGAAAAGAGAGUUAAACAGUACGUGAAAUUGUUGAAAGGGAAACGAUUGAAGUCAGUCGUGCUGGCGCGAAAUCAACCCUCUCGUCUUGAGAUCACAUGGCGCGACGAGCCUCAAAACCGUCACGAAGCGUGAACUCUUGACGAAAAGGUGCACUUUCGUGUCCGCUGGUUAACAUCAAUUUCGAACGUCAUAAAAAGGCUGGAGGGAUGUGGCUCCUUCGGGAGUGUUAUAACCUUUAGCGGAAUGUGGCGUUCGGGAUUGAGGAUUGCAACGAAUACCUUCAGGGCUGUUCCACCUGGCUUCUCAUUGGUAUCCUGGUGACGACAGCUUGCUGACGUCGUUAGGAUCAGCUUCUGAACAGGCUAGAGUGUGAGCAAAUUCGUUAAGGAUGUUAACGUAAUGGCUUUAAACGACCCGUCUUGAAACACGGACC
rnacentral:rRNA from 1 species